UAAGGAAAGAAAAGGGAAGCAGAUGCUGCAUAAACAUUGUUUGAAAGGGGAUCUAAGCAAAGCCAAGCACGAACUCCAACUUUUGAGAUUUCCGUUAUCUUUAAAUAUGGCUAAAAUUUCCAGUUUCCUACAUUCUGGUCGUUUCCGUUGUUGUGGCCGCUAUUCUUUCGAAUACGCAAGAUCUAAGUACCCCAUUUGUCCUUGCUUCUCCAAUUCUUGGGUGUUGUGGGAAAAAAUGUCGAGCCAAACGUGGUACUAAGCAAAAUCAGCAAGCACCAGAAUAUUAUGCUCACCCAACUCCAGGUCCUCGGCCAAACAAUCCUCUUAUUGGCCCUCCGAAACCACCGAGACUGCACCUGCCUCUUAGAAUUCGGGAGACGAAUGUGUAAGGAAGCCUAACAAUCUUAGAAUAUCCGCUGCGGAACGCCACGCAGCAGAUCCACGUCCCAAUCCUGCACUUACGAGCAAUCAGACUGUACCCCAUGAUCGUUUUCAUCCAGUUCACGUUACUAAUCAACAUACUCAUCAACGUCAACACAGACAAGAAAAUCGACUUUCAAAUCGAGCGAAUCGUGCAGGCCCUACAGCAAGAAGACGACGAUCGAGAGUGCAACGAACGAGUUGAGAGACUGUUGUAUGACCAUUGUCAAAACAUUCAAGCCACGCGAAACGGAAGCAAGAAAUAAAGCCGCCGCAUCUAUUCUGGCCAAUUUAUUGCAAAUAUUUAAAUUGGCAUAGUUGUACAUUGAAUCUAGCUUUCCAAUUUCUUAUCUGAUUUCAAGGCGGCUUCCGCAAAAAAAAAGAAAAAAGAAAAGACAAAUGAAACUGUUGCACAUCAAGUAGCUUUAGAAAGGGACGGUGAAUCAAAUUCCCUGCACUGCGCAAACAAAUCGAUUGCGUUGAUUGUCCUUGUUAAUAUUACUGAACAAAGUUAAAAGCCCUGUGCGCCUGCCGUGAUAGCCCAAUGACCAUGGUGGUGCGGUGCUAAGCAUGAGCUCGUGCGUUUAAUUACGGCCGCCACCGCCGCAUUAUUUUGGUGGUGGCGCCACGGUGAAACGCUUGAUUGACAUGCAUUCAUUGCAUGCGAAAGGAACCCCAGGUGGCCAGAAUUAUUUCGGAGCUUCCCGCAAGGCAAGAUCGAAGGAUCUCGUGGUUGUCUGCGUUCGAGCGACGAUAAAUAAAAUAUGUGAGACAAGAAACGGCUCACGUCUCCCUAGAAGGUUAACCCUUGCUGCUUUGAAAAACGGAAGUAAAAGAAAGCAAAUAGAACGCAGGAAAGAUUGAAAAUUAGAGUUAAAGGCGAAGGUUGGAGGGAGAGACAAGUAAAGAAGACUACCAAUUUCCCCUAGGUGAAUCAGUUCGGGGGUGCCAUCUACGUGAAGCGGAGGCCAAAGAGGUGUGUUGCCUACACCAAGGGGCCAUAACGGUCCAAACAGUCGGCAUUGGCUCAGCCCCCAGCAUACCUCUUUCCGCGGAUACGGCUGAGCCACGCACGGUUUAGCGCAUAGUGUACGACCCCCAUGUGCUCGGGUCCGUGGUGUCAUAACACACCAAACGGUUGCUGACGCAGACAACCCUGCAGGUGGUCACUGUUUCGUUUAUCCUCCUUCAUUUACCGCUAAAUGUGCCCGG